CCUACGGGAGGCUGCAGUGAGGAAUAUUGGUCAAUGGACGAGAGUCUGAACCAGCCAAGUAGCGUGAAGGAUGACUGCCCUAUGGGUUGUAAACUUCUUUUAUAUGGGAAUAAAAUGUUCCACGUGUGGGAUUUUGUAUGUACCAUAUGAAUAAGGAUCGGCUAACUCCGUGCCAGCAGCCGCGGUAAUACGGAGGAUCCGAGCGUUAUCCGGAUUUAUUGGGUUUAAAGGGAGCGUAGGUGGAUUGUUAAGUCAGUUGUGAAAGUUUGCGGCUCAACCGUAAAAUUGCAGUUGAAACUGGCAGUCUUGAGUACAGUAGAGGUGAGCGGAAUUCGUGGUGUAGCGGUGAAAUGCUUAGAUAUCACGAAGAACUCCGAUGGCGAAGGCAGUUCACUGGACUGCAACUGACACUGAGGCUCGAAAGUGUGGGUAUCAAACAGGAUUAGAUACCCGAGUAGUC
rnacentral:rRNA from 1 species